AUGUUAUAUUGUGCUUCCUCUUCUCUCCUUCCCUCCUCCCUCUCUCUCCUCCUCUUCCUCCCUCCUCUCUCCUCUCCUCCUCCAUCUCUCUCCUUCUCUUCCUCCCUCCUCCCUCCUCUCUCAUCUCCCUCCUCUCUCAUCUCCUCUCUCCUCCUCCUCCUCCCUCUCUCUCCUCCUCUUCCUCCCUCCUCUCUCAUCUCCUCCUCCCUCCUCUCCUCCUCCUCCUCUCUCCUCCUCCUCCUCCUCUCCUCUCUCUCCUCCUCUUCCUCCCUCCUCUCUCAUCUCCUCCUCCCUCCUUUCUCCUCUCCUCCUCCCUCUCUCUCCUCCUCUUCCUCCCUCCUCUCCUCCUCCUCUCCUCCUCCUCCUCCUCCUCCUCCCUCUCUCUCCUCCUCUUCCUCCCUCACUCUCAUCUCCUCCUCCCUCCUCUCUCCUCCUCCCUCUCUCUCCUCUCUCAUCUCCUCUCCUCCCUCCUCUCUCCUCUCCUCCUCCCUCUCUCUCCUCCUCUUCCUCCCUCCUCUCUCAUCUCCUCCACCUCCCUCACUCUCCUCCUCUUCCUCCCUCCUCUAUAAUCUCCUCCUCCUCCCUCUCUCUCCUCCUCUUCCUCCCUCCUCCUCCCUCUCUCUCCUCCUCUUCCUCCCUCCUCCUCCUCUCUCUCCUCUCCUCCCUCCUCUCUUCUCCUCUUCCUCCCUCUCUCUCAUCUCCUCCCUCCUCUCUCCUCUCCUCCCUCCUCUCUCCUCUCUUCCUCCCUCUCUCUCCUCCUCUUCCUCCCUCCUCCCUCCUCUCUCAUCUCCUCCCUCCUCCCUCCUCUCUCUCUCCUCCCUCCUCUCUCAUCUCCUCCCUCCUCCCUCCUCUCUCAUCUCCUCCCUCCUCUCUCCUCUCCUCCUCCCUCUCUCUCCUCCUCCCUCCUCUCUCCUCUCCUCCUCCCUCCUCUCUCCUCUCCUCCUCCCUCCUCUUCCUCGCUCUCUCCCUCAUCUCUCCUCCUCCCUCCAGUCUCUCAGCACUCUCAGCGGUUCAGCGGGUUAA
rnacentral:lncRNA from 1 species